UGAGACCAUCAAACUCAUUAGCAACGGAGC
rnacentral:piRNA from 1 species